CUAAACCCUCCUAAAUACUGUUGAAGGCAUGUACCUCCCUUCCCUACGACUAUUGAAGGCGUGUUCCCUCUCUGCGACUUCGCAUAAACCCUCCCUCUGAUAGUUCUGCUGCUGCGAUUUAGGUGCGACCUCUGAUAGUUCUGCUGCUGCAAUUUAGGUGCGACUGUUGAAGGCGUGUUCCCUCCUUGCGACUUCGCCUAAACCCUCCAUGCGACUGUGAUCCUUCUCUAUGUGAUUCUCUAACCCUACUGCAAUUUCUGACCGAUUGCGAGCCUCUAUCCUUUUUCAUGCGAUUCAUCUGUCAAAUUUUCAAAACCCUUAAGCGAUUGACCAGGUAUUUUUGCUUUUGUAUCUGUCAUGAACAAAAAUGUCCAUCUUUGUACAUGCUUGCAUAUAACCUAGUGCUAUGAUGUUAUAGACUUUGAUCAACAGAUUGCCCUAAUGCAAUUUCGUCAUUUUGUUUCUUAAUUUUGUGUUGUUUUGAUCUUUGUUACUAGCGGCAUCACUGCAUUGUUGUGAUUCCAUAUUUAAUUUUCAUUUAUAAACUGAAGGCUUACUUUGAAAGUUUAAUUGCGCUGGUUUUCAUUUGGAUGAAAAUUAAGUUAGAAACCACUAUUUUUUUGGGGCAAAGGGUCAAAAAUACCCUUGAUGUUUACCCCGAUGUCCCACUUGCACCCUAAACUAUUUUUUUUCCAAAAGUACCCUUAACGUUACAUUUUUGGGUCGCCCGUGCCCCUGCCGUUAACAGAAUACAAACGGGGUUAAAAUGUGAUGACGUGGCAGGCUUAAAUAUAAAAUAUAUUUUAUUUACAUCAUUUAAUCUAAAUAAUAACAUUCAAAUUAUUUUGUUAACUAAUCAAAACAACUAAUUAAAUAAAAUAAGUUGUAUAACAUAUUUACAUCAUUUAAUCAAAAUACUAAAAUUCAAAACAUAACAUAUUUACAUCAAAUACUACUUAAAAAUAAUACUAAAAUACUAAUUAAAAAAAUACUAAAAUACUAAAAAAAUCAAAUUAAAAAAAUACUAAAAUACUAACAUUCAAAUUAUUUUGUUAAUUAAUCAAAACAACAAAAAUUCAAAUUACAUCAUUAAAAUACUAAAAUCAUAAUACUAAAUACUAAUUGAUAUAAAAUAUUUAAAUUACUAAAAUCAUAAUACUAAAUAAUAUUUUUAAAAUUCAAAACUGGAGUAUUAUGAUUAUUUUAGUAAUUUUUAAUAUUAAUUUUUAAAAUCAUAUCAAUUUAAAAAUAUUAUGAUGUAAUUUGAAUUUUUGAAUACAUUUUUUAAAAAUAUUAUUACAUUAUCAAAUUAUAACAUAUACUGUUAUGUAUAGAUUAUUAAAAUACUGUUCAAAUUACAUCAAAUUUAUAACUCUAAAUUUUUAAAAAUAUUAUUUAAAAAUAAACAGAUUCAAGAGGCUGCUUCACGUUUUUUUUAAUUUUUUUUUUGUCGCUCAGAGCAAUAUUUAUGUUUAUAGAAUAAAUAUAUUUUUUUAACGACACAUACCAACAUAAUUAAUUAAUUAUUAUUUUUUAAAACUUUUUUGGACGUUAUUUUUCGCCCUUCAUACCUUUUGGGUUUACAUGACGAGGUGUAAAAAAGAGGGAAAUUUUAUUGACGAGGUGUAAAAAUUAAUAUUAAAAAUUAUUGAAAUAAUCAUAAUACUCCAGUUUUGAAUUUUAAAAAUAUUAUUUAGUAUUAUGAUUUUAUUAAUUUAAAAAUUUUAUAUCAAUUAGUAUUUAGUAUUAUGAUUUUAUUAUUUUAAUGAUAUAAUUUUAAUUUUUGUUGUUUUAAUUAAUUAACAAAAUAAUUUGAAUGUAAGUAUUUUAGUAUUUUUUUUAAGUUGAUUUUUUUAGUAUUUUAGUAUUUUUUUUAAUUAGUAUUUUAGUAUUAUUUUUUAAUUAGUAUUUGAUGUAAAUAUGUUAUGUUUUGAAUUUUAGUAUUUUGAUUAAAUGGUGUAAAUAUGUUAUACAACUUAUUUUAUUUAAUUAGUUGUUUUGAUUAGUUAACAAAAUAAUUUGAAUUUUAUUAUUUUGAUUAAAUGAUGUAAAUAUGUUAGGAUUUUUUUAUUUUGAAUUUUAGUAUUUUUUGUUUUGAUUAAAUGAUAUAUAUUGUUUUAUUUAAAAUAUAUUUUAUAUUUAAGCCUACCACGUCAUCACAUUUUAACUCCGUUUGUAUUCUGUUAACGGCAGGGGCACGGGCAACCCAAAAAUAUAACGUUAAGGGUACUUUUGGAAAAAAAAAAUUAGUUUAGGGUGCAAGUGGGACAUCGGGGUAAACAUCAGGGGCAUUUUUGACCCUUUGCCCCUAUUUUUUUUUGUUUUUUUUGGCUGAUCAUGUAGUAGUAGGAUGAUACAUUUAUGAAGUUCCUAGUUUUGAAUUAUGUCUAUUUAUGGGAGCUAUACCAAGAGUAUAUUUUUGUACAUGUACUCCUUAUGCUGAUUCAUACUGCUUUGAGGCUUAAACCCUAGACUAUGAAAUUGAUUCAGCUGCUCAUUUCAUUUUUAAUGGGAAUUUUUAUAGAUUUUUUUAAUACUUGACAUUUUGAUGAAUGUUUAGGAAACAUAUGGAUAUUAAUCCCGGACCUGCUAAUCUUAUUGUGUUAUGGGACCAUGAAAAUCACGUAUCGUCAGACUUAUGGCAAAAUAUUAUAAGUUUAUUAAUGUAUAACAAAUUUUAUUUUCUUAAACAUUUGUUACAAACGUCCAUGUUAUGACGAUUUAUGUUUUUAUGUUGUUAGACAUGUAGGAUAGGGGUGUGUUAGAAAUUUGUCAAAUGUCUGCAAAAUUAACUGAAUGGAACUUAACUGAACAACAAGAAUAUUUGCUGGAACAAUUAGGUUUAUGUAUAUUUUGUCAUCAAGCUAUAGUGUCAAAGAUUGAUGCAUCUCUUGUAUCUGCUCUAGUUGAACGUUGGAGAAGUGAAACAAAUACGUUUCACUUAAAUUGUGAAGAGAUUAACAUUUCUUUAGAGGAUGUGGGAUUUUUAUUUGGGUUGCCCGUAUUAGGAAAACCUUUGACUUGCGGAGAAUUAGAAAAUCCCAAAAGCUAUUUUAUAAGGGUUUUUUGGCAACAAGUUGUAGUAGAUGAGUGGGAACAAUGCUAUAAAAGGGGGGGGCAUAAGUUUUCCCUAGUUAAGACAGAGAUAUGGUCAAGUACCUAGUUAUGCUACUCUAGAUGAUGUCGUAAAACACACUAAGGCAUAUCUGUUGUACUUGUGUGGCGCUAUUUUAUUUCCAACCAAGAGUAAAAAUGUUGUGCAUCCAAAUUAUUUGUUGUUAUUGGAAAGAUUGGAAGACGUAGUUGCAUAUGCUUGGGGUGGCAGUUUUAAGGCAUUUGUAUAGGGGUUUGCAUGAGGCUACUAGCAAAACAACGAAAAAAUUCGCAGGUUAUGCAACCUUUCUUAUGAUAUGGGCUCAUGAACAGUUCAACAUUGGUCGGCCUACCCCUAAGCCUAUGUCCCAGAAGUUGAUACCUAGGGCAUUAUCUUGGGCAUACUCCUCUUUUGAUCCUAAUUCAAAACAAUAUCAGUGCCUUAAAAAUCCACAUCACCAUCUUCUAUUUUACCGAGGAGAGUUUGAUAAUAUAUUGGAAACAGAUGGGGUGUGGCGUCCAUAUCAGUUAUUUGAUAGACAUUUGUCUUGGGAUUUUUUUGAGGCAGGGUUAGGUGGAGCCGCUCGUAUACCAUUGAUACAUCACAACAUUGUUGAGUUCCAAAUGCCUAACAGAUUUAUGAGGUAAAUUGGAUAUUUGCAGUCGUAUCCAUCUAAUGCCGAAAAUAUGGUGAAAUUACGGAAGGAACAUAAAUUAUUUGAGAGAAUAAAUUUUGAAAACCAUAGGGCCAACUAUAUUCGAUUGUGGGAUGCAUACAUGGAGAGUUUAGAAGGACAAGUGUUGGAGGCUUUUCAGCAUAUAUCUACCGAGGAUUAUAUGAUAUGGUACAGAGAAAUUACUCGGAGACGGAUACACCAUCCUCGACCCUUUAGGCGUCAAGGGGACGAUUAUGAGUCACGGGUAUUCAUUGACCAAUAUGUGGCUAUAAACACGGUAAGUUUUUCAAUUUAUAAUAUUUAUUAAUGUUUUUGUGUUUUUAACUUAUUAUCUUUUUUUAUUAAUAUAAUUUUUUUAUUCAAUUGUAGAUUGAGAGUGCAAAAUCUAUAUUUGAAAAGUUGUUGUCAAUUGAACAUCCACCUGAGUUAAGAACCAUGUAUGACACAUGGUUCAAUACAUUAUACCAGCCGUUCAUGAAUGACUAUAGAGGGGUUCUAAUCAAUCCAAAUCCAACGCAACCUCAAGUCGGGCAGAUGGAGAUUGACAUGACAAGAUCCCAGCCUACGGUUCAAGAGACUCAACCUAGUGUUGGCCCUUCUACUCGACAUAGUCAGAAAUUGCUAGUUAGAAGGAUGGAGGGAACAAAGCACACUCACUUUUUUAAGUACUUGAAGAUAAAGAAAAUCAAUUGGCUAAAUCAGCAUUGGUUUAGUCCAACUCACGACCCAUCAUACUUUCCUCAUAGCCAUCCAGAAGGUCUAUACAAGUUUGAAUUUAAAGAUGUUAACUGUUUGAGACCCAAUGGUUAGUUAUGGGAACAUGUCUUGGAUGCAUAUUUGUUGUUGUUGCGAGACAGAGAAGCUAAAAUGUGUAAAGAAGGUAUCCAAAGAUGGGCUCAAUUUUAUUUCAUACCAACGUACUUUGCGUUGUUAGGUACCCAAAACUUACCAAGUGCCGGAGUAAACAUGCCAACCAUACAAAAAUUUCAAAGAAGUUACAUCAAUCCUAUAAUUGGUGCCCUAGUACAUGAGUGCGAUUAUAUAUUUGUUCCAGUCUUCAACGAAACCAACAGUCAUUUUUGCUUGUUUAUUUGGAGUGUCAACAAGUGGAAAGUAAUGCUACUUGACCCACUUUAAGAUGACAAACCAUUAAUGCCAUUGUCACAAUUAUACCAAAACUUAUUUGCGGUUGUGGUGAGUUCAUUAAUAUAAGUCUUGUUUUUCAUGUCAUUACAAAGACAUGUAAUUCCUACUAUUUCGGACUCAUAAGUAAUGGGUUUAUUGUUUAUAGGUGGAGUUAAUUCCUUUGCUGCUUCAUCAGGUAAAUCCUACAGCAAAGUGGCCAAAAUCAAAGCCGAAAGUUGAAGCCUGUGUGAAUAGACCGAAACAAUGGAACGAAGAAGAUUGUGGCAAAGAUGUUGCAAAGUAUGUGGAUUUCUUUUUGCACCAUAUAAACAUCAUGGAGGAACCGAGGUGGACUCUUAACGAGGCUUAUAAUUUUAGGUUUAGAAUUGCACAUGAGCUUAGGAUGUGCAAAGCUAGGGACAUUCUUGAAUCAUAUUUGUAAUGAACAAACUUUAGAUUCGGAUUCAAAUGAAGACUAGUUAAUAUAUUUUUGAGUAACUUUUGUAAUACUUUGAUUUAGUAACUCGAUUACCAGUUUCAAAAUGAUUCAAUCUUUUGUAUGUACGUUAAUGUGGAUGUCUUUUAAGUUUGUGUUUGCAUUGGUUUGUAUUUAUUAUCUCACUCACUGUAAAUUUUGGAAACAAUAUAUUGCAACAAAAC
rnacentral:lncRNA from 1 species